rnacentral:rRNA from 1 species
UCAAAGGAAUUGACGGGACCCGCACAAGCGGUGGAUUAUGUUGUUUAAUUCGACGCAACGCGAAGAACCUUACCAGGCCUUGACAUACUCGGCAAAGCUCUAGAGAUAGAGUGGAGGUUAUCCGGGAUACAGGUGGUGCAUGGUUGUCGUCAGCUCGUGUCGUGAGAUGUUGGGUUAAGUCCCGCAACGAGCGCAACCCUUGUCUUUAGUUACCAUCAUUCAGUUGGGGACUCUAGAGAGACUGCCGGUGAUAAACCGGAGGAAGGUGGGGAUGACGUCAAAUCAUCAUGCCCCUUAUGGCCUGGGCUACAAACGUAAUACAAUGGCGUAUACAAAGGGAUGCGAAAGGGCGACCUGGAGCAAAACUCACAAAGUACGUCUCAGUUCAGAUUGGAGUCUGCAACUCGACUCCAUGAAGGCGGAAUCGCUAGUAAUCGCGGAUCAGCACGCCGCGGUGAAUACGUUCCCGGGCCUU